rnacentral:misc_RNA from 1 species
CUACACAUAGUGUUUCUCUGCCUGG